AGCGAACGCUGGCGGCAGGCCUAACACAUGCAAGUCGAUCGACCCUUUCGGGGUUAGUGGCGGACGUGGGAGUCACACGUGGGAACGUGCCCUUAAGUUCGGAAUAACUCAUGGAAACUUGUGCUAAUACCGAACGUGCCCUUCGGGGGCAAGAUUAAUCCCCUUUCGAGCGGCCCGCGUCUGAUUAGCUAGUUGGUUGAGGUAAUGGCUCACCACAGCGACGAUCAGUAGCUGGUCUGAGAGGAUGAUCAGCCACAUUUGGACUGAGACACGGCCCAAACUCCUACGGGAGGCAGCAGUGUGGAAUCUUGCGCAAUGGGAGAAAGCCUGACGCAGCCAUGCCGCGUGAAUGAUGAAGGUCUUAGGAUUGUAAAAUUCUUUCACCGGGGACGAUAAUGACGGUACCCGGAGAAGAAGCCCCGGCUAACUUCGUG
rnacentral:rRNA from 1 species